CAAUCGAACAAAAAAUUAAUAGAUCGACCGCGCUAGACGUAUAGAAUACAGUCUCACAGAAGUAUCAUAGAAUGACAUGGCAGUUGCCUAAUAAAAAUGACACAAAAAUAAAAACAACGGAGGGAGGAAAACGACUGCGCUAGACGUAUAGAAUGCAACCUCACAGAAGUUUCACAAAAUAACCUCACAGUUGCCUAAUAAAAUAGAAAAAAAUAACGGAGGGGGAAAAAUGGGGACGAAUGCAUUAUUUUCAUUUGGAGCUUUAAAAAUCGUCGCUAUGAAGGACGACCAUCGGCCACACCAUUAACGAAUCACCACUGUGAAAUCCACCUCUGACUGCUUAUCUUUGCUUCCCUUUUUCGUCGAUCCAAAAUCGUACAACCAUCUCCACCUCCGAAAAAGAUGUUUGUCCACAGUAGCCUCACUCGUCUCCACCUCCGGCCAUCGAUCCCAUCCACAACCGUCGCAGUCUUCUCCACCUCCUGUCGACGUCGAAGUCUUGAAGAACACAUUAUCUAUUGAUUUUAUGUGAGCUUGGAACUCCUUCUCAACCUUAUUCCUUAGUGCUCUUUCGUAUUGUCCAACAAGCUGCUUCAACGAGGUCUUCGAAUGGACAUAUUCAUCAAAAAAUACAUUCAUACUCUCGCUUUAUUGUGUUGUGGACAUCCAUGCCUAGAAAGUUGUUUUCAGAACCCGACAACAAUCAUUGUCAUGCAAGUUAAACUCAUCAAUCAUCUUCUCCAACCGUUUUCAAAUUCAUCAAUAGCCUACGAAUCGUAUACCAAUUCAUGUAUAGUCAAGAAUAUUGAACUUCUAUUGACAUGGUAGCCAAACUUACCUAGCAAUUUCUUUAUAAUGUGUUACAAACACCAUCUAUAUUUAGUAUUUGGAAAAACAAUCUCAAUUGCAUUUUACAUGGCUCUGUCUUGUUCGAUAAUAAUUCCAUUGGAAGGUUGACCCCGCAUGCACUGAAGCCUUGUCCGAAAUAGCCACACAAAUGUACUUACAUUCUCAUUUGAUAACAACCCACAAUCAAGCAUUGUUGAUUGUCCGUGAUGAUUCGUAUCAACAAAAGGUACGAACGGCAUGUCAUAUUUAUUUGUUAGAUAAGUGGUAUCCAAGGUGACAACAUCACUGAACUCCUUAUAGCUUGCCUACAUCUAUUAUCUACCCAAAAUACGUUCUUAAGUCGAGACUCGUUGUCUAAAUCCAUAGUGAAGUAAAAUUCUGAGCACCGUACUUGCACCGUGUGAAAAGAAGGCUUGUAAUGUUGUUGCAUCUUCUUCUCCAAGUUGUAACCAUCUCACUUGUUCAAUAUAGUUUCGAUAAUCUUUUUCAACGCAAGUCAUGUUCUCAUACCCACUUACUUCUACAACUGCAGAGUUGAAACUUUUGUGCAGUGGAAUUCCCGCUAUGUCAUUCAAUUCAAGCUUUCGUUUUACAUUUGCGCUCAAUUCUCGGUUGCAAUGAUACAAUCUAGACUUGGAAAGACUUGUCUCAUGGUUGUGCUAGAGGUGGAUGGUGUUAAAUUUUCCAUGUUCCAUGACAGUCAGAAGAUGCAGAUAUCCUUGCUUUACAAUCUAUGUGACUUGUUGGUUGCGGCUUCAAAGCAGUGUUUGUAUUAUUGUUUCUUCGACCUUC
rnacentral:lncRNA from 1 species